CAGAAUAUUUUCCUCUCUGCUCUUCUGCACACUUUUUCCUGUGUAAAUCCUCCACAAUGUCCUUGAUACUAAAAAUCCCUCUGUGUCUAUUUCUGGUGUCGAGAUCCACAGAGUGUUUCAAUCUUGAUCGAGCUCCUUGGAAGACUUUCCCCAGUUCUGUCACUUCAUUUGGGUACAAGGUGAUACAGGUAGAUACAACAAGGUUGCUGGUUAGCGCCCCUUUGAUCAACUACAGUCAGGAUAAAAGAGGAAAGAUUUACAACUGUGAAACUGGAAGUUCCUCAUGCUCUGAAAUUUCCCUUCCAGAGCCAAAUCAUGCAGUAAAUAUGUCUCUUGGACUAUCAAUGGCUAAACAACAAAGUGAUCAAAG